UGGGGAAUAUUGGACAAUGGUCGUAAGACUGAUCCAGCCAUGCCGCGUGCAGGAAGACGGCCCUAUGGGUUGUAAACCGCUUUUGUACCAGAGAAAACCUAUCUACGUGUAGAUAGCUGAUAGUAUGGUAAGAAUAAGCAUCGGCUAACUUCGUGCCAGCAGCCGCGGUAAGACGAAGGAUGCAAGCGUUAUCCGGAUUCAUUGGGUUUAAAGGGUGCGUAGGCGGGCUUGUAAGUCAGUGGUGAAAUCUCUCAGCUUAACUGAGAAACUGCCAUUGAUACUGCAGGCCUAGAGUAUAGAUGACGUUGGCGGAAUAUGACAUGUAGUGGUGAAAUACUUAGAUAUGUCAUAGAACACCGAUUGCGAAGGCAGCUAACGAGACUAUAACUGACGCUGAGGCACGAAAGUGCGGGGAUCAAACA
rnacentral:rRNA from 1 species